rnacentral:rRNA from 1 species
AGAGUUUGAUCAUGGCUCAGGAUGAACGCUAGCGGCAGGCCUAAUACAUGCAAGUCGAGGGGCAGCGGGGUAGCAAUACCGCCGGCGACCGGCAAACGGGUGCGGAACACGUACGCAACCUUCCUUCAAGAGAUGGAUAGCCCGAAGAAAUUCGGAUUAAUACAUCGUAAAAUCACAGGGUGGCAUCACCUAAUGAUUAAAGAAUUUCGCUUGAAGAUGGGCGUGCGCCUGAUUAGGUAGUUGGUGAGGUAACGGCUCACCAAGCCAACGAUCAGUAACUGGCGUGAGAGCGCGACCAGUCACACGGGCACUGAGACACGGGCCCGACUCCUACGGGAGGCAGCAGUAAGGAAUAUUGGUCAAUGGACGCAAGUCUGAACCAGCCAUGCCGCGUGAAGGAUGAAGGCCCUCUGGGUCGUAAACUUCUUUUAUCUGGGACGAAACCACUUUUUUCUAAGAGUGUUGACGGUACCAGAGGAAUAAGCACCGGCUAACUCCGUGCCAGCAGCCGCGGUAAUACGGAGGGUGCAAGCGUUAUCCGGAUUCGCUGGGUUUAAAGGGUGCGUAGGCGGACUUGUAAGUCCGUGGUGAAAUCUCCAGGCUUAACCUGGAAACUGCCAUGGAUACUAUAAGUCUUGAAUGUUGUGGAGGUUAGCGGAAUAUGUCAUGUAGCGGUGAAAUGCAUAGAUAUGACAUAGAACACCAAUUGCGAAGGCAGCUGGCUACACAAAUAUUGACGCUGAGGCACGAAAGCGUGGGGAUCAAACAGGAUUAGAUACCCUGGUAGUCCACGCCCUAAACGAUGAUUACUCGACAUAUGUGAUACACUAUAUGUGUCUGAGCGAAAGCAUUAAGUAAUCCACCUGGGAAGUACGACCGCAAGGUUGAAACUCAAAGGAAUUGACGGGGUCCGCACAAGCGGUGGAGCAUGUGGUUUAAUUCGAUGAUACGCGAGGAACCUUACCUGGGCUA